rnacentral:rRNA from 1 species
AUGAGCAUCUCUGUGAACGGGCAGUCGGAGGUGCCGCCGGGGUUCCGUUUCCACCCAACGGAGGAGGAGCUGCUCACCUACUACCUCGCCAAGAAGGCGGCCUCGCAGCGCAUCGACCUCGACGUCAUCCGCGAUGUCGACCUCAACAAGCUCGAGCCAUGGGACAUCCAAGAGCGGUGCAGGAUCGGCACUGGCCCGCAGAACGACUGGUACUUGUUCAGCCACAAGGACAAGAAGUACCCGACGGGGACGCGCACCAACCGCGCCACCGGCGCCGGGUUCUGGAAGGCCACCGGCCGGGACAAGGCCAUCUACUCCGCCUCCGGCUCCGGCACCAUCGGCACGCGCAAGACGCUCGUCUUCUACAAGGGCCGCGCCCCGCACGGACACAAGUCCGACUGGAUCAUGCACGAGUACCGCCUCGAUGACGCCGCAACCCCGGGCAACAACUCCGCCAACCCAGCCGCCGGCAACGCUAGCUACCACUCCGGCUCCUCAUCGCCGAUGCGCGGCGUGGCGCAGGAGGACGGGUGGGUCAUCUGCAGGGUGUUCAAGAAGAAGAACAUCGUCGUGCAGCACCAAGUAGGCCAGAACGGCGGCGGUGUUGCCGCGGCGUCCAACAAGCUGGUCGGCGUCGGUGCCAUGGAGCGCGGCCGGAGCAACUGCUCAUCGACGGUGGCCACCGCCAGCGACCACGCCAAGGCGACCCAGAUGCAGCAGCAUCACGACGCGCUCGACCACAUCCUCAACCAGUACAUGCAUGGCCGCUCGACCACGACCCCGUGCAAGCAGGAGACCAAGCCCACCAACCCAUCAUCGCCAGCACUGGACGACCUGAUCGACAGCGCGUGCCACAACCGCAACAGCACCCUAUACCAAAAGUUCAUGAGGCUGCCGCAGCUCGAGCACGUCGUCCCCGGCGGCCUCCUGCCGCUGCCGAGCAAGUACGGCAGCGACUGGGACGCUCUCGACCGGCUCGCAGCCUACGAGCUCAACGGCCUCUCCGACCCCGCUUCGGCCAAGACAAUGAACGGCAUGUCCAUCGUGGACGAGCUCGGUAGCGCCACGGCUUACUCCGGCGGCGACACACUACACGCUUCCUCUGACACCAGCGACGGCGACCUGUGGAGCCUGGUGCGGUCGGUGUCAUCGCUACACGCCGACUUGAAGAUAACCUGUUUUAACGCUGUCGGAUGCUGA